rnacentral:rRNA from 1 species
UAAGGAAUAUUGGUCAAUGGACGCAAGUCUGAACCAGCCAUGCCGCGUGAAGGAUGAAGGUCCUCUGGAUUGUAAACUUCUUUUAUCUGGGACGAAAACGGGAUUUUUAUCUCAAUUGACGGUACCAGAGGAAUAAGCACAGGCUAACUCCGUGCCAGCAGCCGCGGUAAUACGGAGGGUGCGAGCGUUAUCCGGAUUUACUGGGUUUAAAGGGUGCGUAGGUGGGCUUAUAAGUCAGUGGUGAAAUCUCCGAGCUUAACUUGGAAACUGCCGUUGNUACUAUAGGUCUUGAAUUAUCUGGAGGUAAGCGGAAUAUGUCAUGUAGCGGUGAAAUGCUUAGAUAUGACAUAGAACACCAAUUGCGAAGGCAGCUUACUACAUAUAAAUUGACGCUGAGGCACGAAAGCGUGGGGAUCAAACA